rnacentral:rRNA from 1 species
GUCUACAGCCAUAACACUCUGAACAUACCAAAUCUGAUCUUAUCUGAGAGGCUAAGUAGGGUUGAGCCUAGUUAGUACUUAGAUGAGAGAAGUGCCCCUCAGAAACAAGUGCAAGCCA